rnacentral:misc_RNA from 1 species
UUAAGUUCAGCGGGUAUUCUUGCCUGAUUUGAGGUCAUUUGUCAAUUAAAUUUACGAUCUUGGGCUUCGCGCUCGCGAGAGUGCUUUUCGUCGUCCAAAAAAUCGUAAUGCUUGUGGAGUAAUCCGUCUAACGAGAGAAUGUUUAAUUGCUCCGUUUGGUUCGAAUUAAGCACAUGGCGUAAAUUUAAGGCCAUAAGUCU